AAGGGAGCGGGGGGGCGUGUAAAAACUGUGUGCAGAAAUGCUCCUGAAUUCAGAGCGCAUUUGGGUAUUUCUUCCUGCACUGAUGGGAAUAAAUGGGGGGACGAGAUGACACCUCUGGGUGACGUGGAGGCAAACACCCCUCGGGCGUACACACUCUUGGGAACAUGGGAUGGAAGCGAUGGAUACAAAGCUAUCCGAUGCUGAUUCUGAACAAGCACAGCCUAGGGAGCAUCUCCUGUGAGCCCAUCCAGACCCGGCAGUGACGUCAGGCUGCCACAUUCAACGGCAUGUUGAUGUUUGCGUCACUCAAGUGGCGUAUGACGUCUCUACUCGUGUAUGUUGAGUGUCGCAUUUGUGCUGGAAUCUGCUGUAUGUAGGGCUCAGCCUCGCAGCUUCACAGAAGUGACACUUGAGGACUAUUUUGUCCUCAUGCAGAGCGUGCCUCUACCCUCAGGGUAUGGAUGGGCAUCACGGCUGGGAUCCUGCACACAAGCUUCCCUUCCUGACCCUCCUUCCUCCUCCAGGGGCUGUCGCAUGGCUGGGGAGGCGGACACCAGCCAUCACUUACACAGACAGGUGAAACACCUUGGGCUCCGGGGUGUUUACCAACUGACAUCACUGUUCCCUUUUCUCCUUCCUCCUUGUAACUUCCCGCCUCCAUCAGCAACUCGAGCAUCCUCUGAUUUCUUCUCUGGCCUGUCUGAGACCAUCCCCAGCACGCACAGCUGUCACUAGGUUCUUAGAAUCGCCGCUCCCACAGAGCUUGCUCCCGAAAUGCUUCUCCGUUUGAAAACCACUAUUUGCCUCUGUGCAUUCACGAGUGUUCCCCUGGCUGUCUGCCUGGAAUUGAGGCCACGUGCUGAUAUCUCGUCAUGCACCUAAGUUACCCACAUGCCUCAUGCUUAUCCUUAGGCUGAUGGUCCUUAAGAAAUACCUUCAUCCUCCCUGCAGUACAGAGCGUGAGAAUUCAGAGUUUAAAUGUCUGCUCUUUACGAUUUUUCCAUAAAGUUCAGCUGUUGACUCCUACCCAGGUAAUCGUUGAUAAAUAGAGAGCUCCGUAGUGCUUUGGAACAUAGGAUGAAAACAAUGUUAUUUAAAAGAAUCCUUUUAGGCUAAAAAUGACCCAAAUACAGAGUACCCCAAAUGAACAGACUCCAUUUUUUAUUAAUGCGACGUUAAUGUGCGUUCUUACAUUAAAUACCUAUUUAGUGCCUAAGAGCAAAAAAUUACCUCUAAAGGCACAGGGAUCCAACGUGUGUGUCAGUGAUUCGCUUUAUUACGCUGCGAACAUCAGAAGAGCGUACACUAAGAUGAUGGUGUCUGUGUGGGCAUUUCAAUUGAGAUUUUUCAGCCCUUUACCGAAUGCUUUCUGGCACGUGUUUCUGCUGAGACGUCACGUGUUAGCACGGUCUGGAGGGCAGAGUCUCUGCUGGGCUUGCCCGGGGUUUGGCCAGGGCUCCAGAGGCCAGUCCUUGUGAGGGCCAGGACCCCGGCUGAGGGCUGUGUUUUCCCCAGCACAUUCGCCCCCAUCCACAAGCCUCACGAGGCUGUGCGUCUGUGUGUGGUCCUGUUGUGAGUCACUCCAGAGCUGGACACAGAUUUAUAGGCCUGUUCCGUGCUGGGGACACAGCUCAGCAUGGACGCAUCAUGAAGGCACUGUGAAAGCAGUGAGUCAUUCCCACGCCUGGCGGGAUGUCCCGUUCGCCGGGGACCUUUGGAAAAAUUCUGAUUGCAGAACUCCACGCCAGCGGGCUAAUGCAGUCAGGUCCCUGAGCGGAAUCACAGAGCCAAGGGGUGGGUGUGCGGCAGGACCAGGGUCAUGGGGAGGUGACCGUGGUGUUACUUGUGCUCUGGUCCUCUGGAUCAGUGACCUCCUGCCGCCGUGUGGGCUGUAACCUCUGAGUUACCCAUUUCUGUGAUCAGUUCAUUGGCUGAAGUGAUGGGAAGCCCAUGCCAGGUGUCCAGCUCCUUUGUAGCUCAGAGUGGGGUUGGGAAGGCUUCUCCCCUGAAAGAUGUAGGAAGAUCCCCAGUGACAGAGAAGGCAAGACCCUUGGCUCUGGAGUCAGAGUAGUAUUCAGGUUAAGGGUCUGGCAUUGUCACUGCAGCGGCUCAGGUUACUGCUGGGGUAUGGGUUCCAUCCCUGCCCCCGGAACCUCCACAUGCCACAGGCUCAGCCAAAAAAAAAAAAAAGGCGGAGUUCCCAUUGUGACACAUUGGAAACAAAUCAGAUUAGGAUCCAUGAGGUUGCAGGUUCGAUCCCUGGCCUCGCUCAGUGGGUUAAGGAUCUGGCAUUGAGCUUUGGUGUAGGUUGCAGAUUUGGCUUAGAUCCUGCAUUGCUGUGGCUGGGGUAUAGGCUGGCAGUGUAGCUCUGAUUCGACCCCUAACCUAGGAACUUCCAUAUGCCAGAGGUGCAGCCCUAAC
rnacentral:lncRNA from 1 species